GAGUUUGAUCAUGGGCUCAGGAUGAACGCUGGCGGCAUGCUUUACACAUGCAAGUUGAACGAAUUAAAGUUUUCGAAUUUUAGUUAAGUAGCGAACGGGUGAGUAAAACGUAAGAAUCUAUUUUUAGGUGAGGAAUAACUAAUGGAAACGUUAGCUAAUACCUUAUAAACUGAGAAGUGAAAAACUAAAAAUUACCUAAAAGUGAGCUUGCGCCUGAUUAGCUUGUUGGUAAGAUAAUCGCUUACCUAAGCGACGAUCAGUAGUUGAUCUAAGAGGAUAAUCAACCACACUGGGACUGAGAUACGGCCCAGACCUCUACGGAGGGCAGCAGUGAGGAAUUUUCCGCAAUGGGCGAAAGCCUGACGGAGCAAUGCCGCGUGAAGGAUGAAGGCCUAUGGGUCGUAAACUUCUUUUCUUAAUGAAGAAAUAAGACGGUAAUUAAGGAAUAAGCAUCGGCUAACUCCGUGCCAGCAGCCGCGGUAAUACGGAGGAUGCAAGCGUUAUCCGGAAUUAUUGGGCGUAAAGGGUUUGUAGGCUACUUUUUAAGUCUACUGUUAAAGAAUAAGACUUAACCUUAGAAAAGCAGUAUGAAACUAAAAGGAUAGAGUUCAGUAGGGGUAGAGGGAAUUCUCGGUGUAGUAGUGAAAUGCGUAGAUAUCGAGAGGAACACCAAUAGCGAAAGCACUCUACUAGGCUGUAACUGACGCUAAGAAACGAAAGCUAGGGGAGCCAAUGGGAUUAGAUACCCCAGUAGUCCUAGCUGUAAACGAUGGAUACUAAGUA
rnacentral:rRNA from 1 species